UACGUAGGGGUCGAGCGUUGUCCGGAUUUAUUGGGUUUAAAGGGUCCGUAGGCGGGUUAUUAAGUCAGUGGUGAAAGUUUUCGGCUUAACCGAAAAAUUGCCAUUGAUACUGGUAGUCUUGAAUUAUUGUGAAGUAACUAGAAUAUGUAGUGUAGCGGUGAAAUGCUUAGAUAUUACAUGGAAUACCAAUUGCGAAGGCAGGUUACUAACAAUAUAUUGACGCUGAUGGACGAAAGCGUGGGUAGCGAACAGG
rnacentral:rRNA from 1 species